rnacentral:lncRNA from 1 species
CCUGAAGCCCAGAAUGGGAAAUGGCUUGCCCAAGGUCACACAGCUAUUCAGUGACAGCCAGGAGUAACCCCUUUGGGUCUCUGAGAGUUGCUAUUAUUUAAUCCCAUCUGGGCGGCUGUGAUCAAAGAACAUAGUUUCUCUCACACAUAAAGAAAUAACUUGCCUGAAAAAAAAGUUGGUUAGCUGACUAGUGAACUGUGUCUACCACGGAGCGGGUAUCCUUAGCCAACCGGCAAGAUCUAUUCAUGUGCGUGCUUCUAUUUCUGCGUGACAAGCCCUCAUUUGAAUGCACAAGCGAACACACAUACCCUGUGGAAAGAUCAUUAACUGAGCGGUGGUGGGGCCCGUAGGUAGUAAACCACACGUCUGUGUCUGCACUGCUGGGAAGCAAUGUUUUCACUGCCAAGCUUAGGGCGAUGGGUUCCAAAUACCCAAGUUCUCUCUCUUCGUGGUCCCCAUCAUGGCCCUGGAUGGCUAUGCACGUACGUAUGUUAACCCUGUUCAACAAGACUCGACCCAAUCUCUCCUCUCCAAAGGGGGCAGGGGGUGCGUCCGUCGCCCAAGACUUUCAGCCAGAAUCCUUCAAGCAUAAAAACAUCCGCCAACGGGAAUAUUUCAAAUGACAUGAAUAAUAUUUGUGAUUAAUAACAGCUAACCAGAGAAGCAUAAUCCAAGAAAUACAUUAUUAGCUUCUUACAGAUAUCUGAUAUGCUAAUUAUCUUCAAAAAUUUCAUUGCUGAUGACUGUUUUGGCAGAAAUUUGAGCAGGGGAAGAGGAAAUUUAAACUUUUAUGUAAGUUGGAAACAAAGCGUUGGGGCGAUUGGACUUGAGAAGACCUGGGCUUGGGAUUUGGUAUUUAAUUCUGACUGAUGGGAAGGAAAUUAAAUAAUGGGAAUAGAAUUCAGUGCGAGGAUUGAAAUUCGAGUCGAGGGGUACUUGGCGGACCUCCUCAGGAGCUCUUCCUUACCUCCCGUGACAGAGACUCCCGGUGCUUCUGAUGUGGGCGGCACGCGAUGUGGUUU